CCGCGCGGAGCUGCGCCGGGAGCCGGCCGCGCCCGGGCCGGCAGCAGCCGCGGCUCCGCAGGGUUCCGCAGGUGCUGAUGGGACACCUGUGGAACCCUGCGGACACCGGGAUGGGACACCCCGGGCAGGCGCUCCCGGCGGUGCCGGCCGGGAAUGACGCCGGUAGCGCCAGCACAGUGGCAGCGGGUCACGCUGGGGUCAGACCCCUUGUGGGUUCUGAAAGUUUAAUUAUUUGCACAUUGAAGAUGCUCUCUUGACCCUCCCUGGUCUGGAAGACUAUAGGACUCCAUAAAAACAGCAGUGAUUCAAUCUGAGAUGCAGAAUUGAGUAAUAAGCAGUGAGAAUGGGUAGUGCUGAUGCAGAAGGAGGGAUGUUCUCUCAAUCACACCCUUCAUCUUGCUCGUCUAUACUUACCAGCAACACAGAGAAGGAAACAUGCAAAAAGUAUUCCAAUUUGAACAAAGACAAAAUACAAGGACCUGGGAGCUCCCUUUAAACAUCAUGAACAUGUUUAGUAAUUCAUCUGAGGGAAAAUGCUCAGUAUCAGUGCAUAUAGAAAAUGUACUAAACCAUUCCUUUAAACAGAUGAUUACAUUGUUAUUAUUUCAUUUAGGUUGCUAAUACCAGAGAUAGUUUGAGAAUGCUUUCAAAUGAAGAAAUAAGUGCAGUAUUUUCUCCUGUGCCAUCACCUGUUCUGUUGUUCCCUCCUCUGUGACCAUGGUGCAAUCUGUUAAACAGUACAAGUACUUAAUGUAAUACCUCCAGAAGUUGUAACAUGGACAAUGUUUGGAGUACAAGGAUCAAGUGGCAGAAGGCCUCUUGUUUUGAUGGCACUUCACCAGUAUCUUGCUGCAUAUACUGAUCUCUGCAGUAUUUACCACAGUGCACUCAGUGAAUCAUCAUUUGUGCUUGGAUUAUAACAAAGCUUAAAGCUAUUUGCCUAUUACUUCCAGAAGGCAGAAAAGAAACACCUCAAGGUAUACUCAAAACAGAACCUCAUGCCCAACUCUGCCUGAAGCUACUUUUGUCAGAGCAGCUAGAAUUGUUUUAAUUGUAGUUUAUAUAAUCAUCAUUGUAAUUGACUACUGCCUCUUCUGCAGAGAAGAAAAACAUGAUGGCUAUUCAAAUAUAUAAAAUAAAA
rnacentral:lncRNA from 1 species